rnacentral:rRNA from 1 species
UCGAGCGAACAGAUAAGGAGCUUGCUCCUUUGACGUUAGCGGCGGACGGGUGAGUAACACGUGGAUAACCUACCUAUAAGACUGGGAUAACUUCGGGAAACCGGAGCUAAUACCGGAUAACAUAUUGAACCGCAUGGUUCAAUAGUGAAAGGCGGCUUUGCUGUCACUUAUAGAUGGAUCCGCGCCGUAUUAGCUAGUUGGUAAGGUAACGGCUUACCAAGGCAACGAUACGUAGCCGACCUGAGAGGGUGAUCGGCCACACUGGAACUGAGACACGGUCCAGACUCCUACGGGAGGCAGCCAGUAGGGAAUUCUUCCGCCAAUGGGCGAAAAGCCUGACGGAAGCAACCCCCGCGUGAGUGAUGAAAGUUCUUCGGAUCGUAAAACUUCUGUUAUCAGGGAAGAACCAAAUGUGUAAGUAACUGUGCACAUCUUGAACGGUACCUGAUCAGAAAGCCACGGCUAACUACGUGCCCAGCAGCCGCGGUAAUACGUAGGUGGCAAGCGUUAUCCGGAAUUAUUGGGCGUAAAGCGCGCGUAGGCGGUUUUUUAAGUCUGAUGUGAAAGCCCACGGCUCAACCGUGGAGGGUCAUUGGAAACUGGAAAACUUGAGUGCAGAAGAGGAAAGUGGAAUUCCAUGUGUAGCGGUGAAAUGCGCAGAGAUAUGGAGGAACACCAGUGGCGAAGGCGACUUUCUGGUCUGUAACUGACGCUGAUGUGCGAAAGCGUGGGGAUCAAACAGGAUUAGAUACCCUGGUAGUCCACGCCGUAAACGAUGAGUGCUAAGUGUUAGGGGGUUUCCGCCCCUUAGUGCUGCAGCUAACGCAUUAAGCACUCCGCCUGGGGGAGUACGACCGCAAGGUUGAAACUCAAAGGAAUUGACGGGGGACCCGCACAAGCCGGUGGAGCAUGUGGUUUAAUUCGAAGCAACGCGAAGAACCUUACCAAAUCUUGACAUCCUUUGACCGCUCUAGAGAUAGAGUUUUCCCCUUCGGGGGACAAAGUGACAGGUGGUGCAUGGUUGUCGUCAGCUCGUGUCGUGAGAUGUUGGGUUAAGUCCCGCAACGAGCGCAACCCUUAAGCUUAGUUGCCAUCAUUAAGUUGGGCACUCUAAGUUGACUGCCGGUGACAAACCGGAGGAAGGUGGGGAUGACGUCAAAUCAUCAUGCCCCUUAUGAUUUGGGCUACACACGUGCUACAAUGGACAAUACAAAGGGCAGCUAAACCGCGAGGUCAAGCAAAUCCCAUAAAGUUGUUCUCAGUUCGGAUUGUAGUCUGCAACUCGACUACAUGAAGCUGGAAUCGCUAGUAAUCGUAGAUCAGCAUGCUACGGUGAAUACGUUCCCGGGUCUUGUACACACCGCCCGUCACACCACGAGAGUUUGUAACACCCGAAGCCGGUGGAGUAACC